GAUGAACGCUGGCGGCGUGCCUAAUACAUGCAAGUCGAGCGAACAGACGAGGAGCUUGCUCCUCUGACGUUAGCGGCGGACGGGUGAGUAACACGUGGAUAACCUACCUAUAAGACUGGGAUAACUUCGGGAAACCGGAGCUAAUACCGGAUAAUAUAUUGAACCGCAUGGUUCAAUAGUGAAAGACGGUUUUGCUGUCACUUAUAGAUGGAUCCGCGCCGCAUUAGCUAGUUGGUAAGGUAACGGCUUACCAAGGCAACGAUGCGUAGCCGACCUGAGAGGGUGAUCGGCCACACUGGAACUGAGACACGGUCCAGACUCCUACGAGAGGCAGCAGUAGGGAAUCUUCCGCAAUGGGCGAAAGCCUGACGGAGCAACGCCGCGUGAGUGAUGAAGGUCUGCGGAUCGUAAAACUCUGUUAUUAGGGAAGAACAAAUGUGUAAGUAACUAUGCACGACUUGACGGUACCUAAUCAGAAAGUCACGGCUAACUACGUG
rnacentral:rRNA from 1 species